rnacentral:rRNA from 1 species
UACGUAGGGUGCAAGCGUUAAUCGGAAUUACUGGGCGUAAAGCGUGCGCAGGCGGUUUUGUAAGUCAGAUGUGAAAUCCCCGGGCCUAACCUGGGAACUGCGUUUGAAACUACAAGGCUAGAGUGUGGCAGAGGGGGGUGGAAUUCCACGUGUAGCAGUGAAAUGCGUAGAGAUGUGGAGGAACACCGAUGGCGAAGGCAGCCCCCUGGGUUAACACUGACGCUCAGGCACGAAAGCGUGGGGAGCAAACAGG